rnacentral:rRNA from 1 species
ACAGAGGUCUCAAGCGUUGUUCGGAUUUAUUGGGCGUAAAGGGUGCGCAGGCCGCAUGGUAAGUUUGGUGUGAAAUCCUGGGGCUUAACCCCAGAAUUGCACUGAAUACUGCCGUGCUAGAGGACUGGAGAGGAGAUUGGAAUUCACGGUGUAGCAGUGAAAUGCGUAGAUAUCGUGAGGAAGACCAGUGGCGAAGGCGAAUCUCUGGACAGUUCCUGACGCUCAUGCACGAAGGCCAGGGGAGCAAACGGGA